CUUUCUUUCUUCCUGGGCUCUACAAAGUCACCUCUUUCUAUGAUCCAACAUUGGAAUGUUGGAAUGUACCCUGGAGCUUGAGGACACGCCUGACAUCCCCUGAAAACACUUAUCUUUCACUCAUCCUCAUACACUGAAAAGAUGCGCACAUGUAACCCCUGAACUCACACACGACUCCUCCAGUUCGUGGUCACACUAAAAAUCCGUUUGAGUUACACAUGUGCUUGCUUACCCCUGGCUCCCACACGCCCACCUGGAGGUGUGUAUACACAGCGCUGAUGUCUGUGAUCACCGCUGCGCUGAAAACACACCUUUAGGUGCCUAAGAAACAAAUGGCAAGAGCGAAGGGAAACAGGGCAGCGGAAAGAAUGGCCCUGCUCCAUCCACUUCUGUCCUGAAGCAAAGCAACCUGGAUCUUUUGGGCUAACUUGUGUGCUGGGAACCCAGUGCAGACUUUUACAACAGGCCCUGAUCUGAGUGCAAGCCUCAGAGGAGCAGUCUCCUCCCCAGCCACGUCUGUCUGCUGGGUUCCUCCAGCUGUCUCCAGGGCAGUUCUCCCUAAAUGCAAACUAUUAGCAUUUCCUGUUAAAACAUUUCUAAUAAAUAAAUGAAUACAUCAUCAUCUUCUCAACCCAAAGCAGGUCUGAAAGCAGCCUAGGAGCUCCUCUGAGCUAAGGACGGACAUGGACCACCCAGCACCAGCCCACUGGCCCGGGGCCAGUGCUGCUUUUGUUUGAAUUCCUGUAUGAGUAACUGCUCAAGUUGACGCCAGCCAAACUCAGUGAAAUAUUAUUUUUAAUAUUAAAUAAAUAGAUGGUGGGGUGUGUUGAUCUUUUUUUUCCCCCAGUAAACUGCAGCAUCACAACAUAGAAACUGGCUCUUGUAUCCAGAUUUCCUCAGAUAGCAGAAGGAAGGUUGACAUUCUCUUUGACCUUCCUCAUGGAACUCUUACCCCCCAGGAGACAGAAAAGUCCCAGUUGGUGUUGACAGGACCCUAUUUGGAGUAAGCUGGGAGUUCAAAUGCUAACAAAACUUGUAUGGGUUCACCAGCCAUUUUUGUUAAUUUUUUCUAACUUAUUGUUUUCUUUCAAUAACAGAAGGCACAUGAACUUUAUAUAAAAAGUAGAAAGCACAGAUAAACAAGAAGCUGCUGAGAUCUUACGACCCAGUAAGAGACAAUUACUCCUAAAUUUUGGUCCCCUUCUUGAAGGUCUGCCAUGCUUUGUGUUAUUCUUCAAAAUCAGUCUUUGACAAUUUGCUGGAUAAAUAAAAGAAAGGAAGAAAAAAAAGAAAGAAAGAAAGAAAAAAAGAACCACCAGCCUUAAACAUUUAACACUAGAGGUGAGCAGUAUAGGAUAGGACUUUUGCACGUCUGCGUCUUUUUCACAACACGUCUUUUGCCAUGUUGGGCACUGAAGGGGACAGACUGAAGAGGAGACCAGUGAUGGCUUCGGAAAGGCUCAGAUGAGUGAGAAGAUGCCUUGACAUCAGAGCAUCUCUUGGGCCUGGUGCAUGGUGGAACACACCUUAGGAAAUGCAGUCUGAUGUCAUAGCGGAAAAUGAUCUUCACGCUGUUCAUGGAGACCAAUGCUGGGCUGUCAGGUUGACCAGUAACAUCCCCAAAUUUUCUGCGAUUUUAGCAAGUGUAAGUCUCAAUCCUAUCACAAAUAAGGAGUUGGCCCUUCAUAUGAUGAAAAAUAAGACAUAAGCUGUUAUUACUGAAUUGGUAAAUGCCCCAAAGGAUGAGAACCCUCGUGUUUGAGAUUUUUCUGAAAAACCUCCAGCUUUCAAUAUUCAAUAUUUGCUGCAUUUCUUUCUUUUGUUUUCUUUCUUUCUUUUUUUCGUUUUUUGUUUUUGCUUUUUAGGGCUGCACCCUCGGCAUAUGGGGGUGCCCAGGCUAUGGGUCGAAUCGGAGCUCUAGCUGCUGGCCUACACCACAGCCAGGGCAUUGCUGGAUCCAAGCUGCGUCUGCAACCUACACCACAGCUCACGGCAAUGCCCGAUCCUUAACCUGCUGAGCAAGGCCAGGGAUCGAACCUGCGUCCUCAUGGAUGCUAGUCAGAUUUGUUUCCAAUGAGCCAUGGCAGGAACUCCAUUUCCUUUAACUUCUUGGAGCUUAACAGCCGUGUGAGAAAGGCAGAGGAGACAUCACCUUCCUUUUUACUUAUGGCAAAAGAGAAGCUUAAAGAAGGUGAGUGAUUUUGCAAUUUAUAUGGCUAUAAGUGGUUGGAAUCAGAAAAAGGAGCCAGUUCCCUCCCUCCCUCCCUCUCUCCCUUCCUCCUUCCUUCCUAUUAAAGUUUAUGGCCACACCUGCAGCAUAUGGAAGUUCCUGGGUCAGGGAUCAAAUCAGAGCCCAGAACUGAGACAACGCCAGAUUCCUUUAACCCACUGCGCCAGCCAGGGAUCCAGCCCUCACCUCCGCAGCGACCCGAGGCUCAGAGGGAAGGCCAAUCCAGUGCUCUCUUUGACUCAUACUGGGGUGUAAUCCUGCCAGGAUAGGUAGGACAGGGCCAGGAGAUCAUUUCAAAGACUUGCUGUGAAAGGGCACUUCUCAAAGGUUUUAGGGAAACAUUUUGAUGUAAAAAGUGUACACAGCACAUUAUGAAGUAGAAUGCAGAAUCUGCAUGACUUUUUACAAUAAAAUAUGAGAUUUUAGGAGUUCCCAUCGUGGCUCAGUAGUUAACGAAUCCGACUAGGAACCAUGAGGUUGCGGGUUCGAUCCCUAGCCUUGCUCAGUGGGUUAAGGAUCUGGCAUUGCCAUGAGCUGUGGUGUAGCUUGCAGACGCAGUUCAGAUCCCGUGUUGCUGUGGCUCUGGUGUAGGCCUGCAGCUACAGCUCCGAUCAGACCCCUAGCCUGGGAACCUCCAUAUGCCGCAGGAGUGGCUCUAGAAAUGGCAAAAA
ensembl:lncRNA